rnacentral:misc_RNA from 1 species
GAUGAAGAACGUAGCGAAAUGCGAUAAGUAAUGUGAAUUGCAGAAUUCAGUGAAUCAUCGAAUCUUUGAACGCAUCUUGCGCUCCUUGGUAUUCCGAGGAGCAUGCCUGUUUGAGUGUCAUUUCAACCAUCAAGCCCCCGGCUUGUGUUGGGGACCUGCGGCUGCCGCAGGCCCUGAAAACCAGUGGCGGGCUCGCUAGUCACUCCGAGCGUAGUAAUACAUCUCGCUCAGGGCGUGCUGCGGGUUCCGGCCGUUAAAAAGCCUUAUUUACCCAAGGUUGACCUCGGAUCAGGUAGGAAGACCCGCUGAACUUAAGCAUAUCAAUAAGCGGAGGA